rnacentral:lncRNA from 1 species
ACAGGGGCCGCAGUGACGGGACAGCUCCCACAGGAUCACCUAGAGACCCCUUGCAGGACUAGUCAGCGGCCUGGCUUUUCUACCUAUAUCUCUUUCCUUGUUGUUUCCAUAACCUCAUAAGAGAGUGACUGGGGAUCUGUGACAUGCAGCCCAGGGCCGUUUUGUUGGACAAGGAUGUCUCCAACUUCCAACCCCUUAUUAUUCCCUUUUCCAAUUUUUCCUUCUAGGUUUUUUUUUUCUCCAGUUCUUUUCCUAGAGUUCGACCUCCUCAGGACCUUGGGUUUUACCUACUAAAGGAAUAUCUUGAACAUUCUCAGUGCUAAGUGGUGGUGGGAGUGGAGUGGUGGUCUGGAGUUUACUUGUGGGAUAAUAAACUACUUGUCUGUUUAUUUAGGACUACUGCUAGUCUUCUGUCAUAGGAUAUGAAAAUUACCCACAAUUUCCUUUGUAUAAUCCCAGUGGUAUCCAACCCCACACUCUGCAAAGCAAAUGAAAAGGAAACUCAGUGUAACACAAUUGAGCGGAGACUAAGGCAUACACAUAUUUUCUAUUAAGCUAAAUGAACUGCAUGCACUCUUAUAAUUGCACUUCCCUUGGUUUUCUUUGCUUCCUUGCUACUUUCCAUUUUCCUUCCUUUUUCAUGUUUUCUUUUAUUUCAUUGUUUAUAAUUCUAGACAUAAUAAUGCCCCCUUUUAAAUUACUAAGAAGAGGAAAAUCUCACAUAAUAGAUCCCAUUGUGCUUCUGGUUUUGUUAUAGGGGAGUCCAAAUGAAAAAGAUCAACUUGAAAAACAGAAAAUUUGUA